GAAGAAAACCGACGCGAGACGUGGAUUCGGCGCUCUCCCUGCCUUUGCGCCCUACAGGCAGCGCCUCGCUUCCGUGUGGGGUCUGCUGGGUCUGCUGGGACCGUCUCCACCGCUUAGCCAGGGUGCAGAGCCCGCCAGCUUCCGCUGGAUCCGUCUCCCCGGGGCGCCGCUGCUUCUCCCGACACCAGAUCUAGUCGCGGCAUGCCUAGGUCCGGCCGCCGCGGACCAGAUCCAGCGGCAAGAGCAUACGGCCAGGCAGCUCCCUCCCCCGGAUGUCGUCCUUUCUCCGCCUUCGACCGAGUGCUAUGGCAUCCAAGGUUCGUCGCUAAUGGUGCCUCCAUAGGCCUCCAUCGAGGGGCUUCACCGGUGUUCGUCAUGGCGGCGUUUGUGCGUGUGGUGGCCGUGGCAGCAGCGUUGGCUGCAGCGAAUGCCGCGAUGAUGGCUGGCGGCCCCAGUGGCGCGUCCGUCGAGGAGGCGGCCACCGCCAGGAUCCAAGCCACAUUCAGAGGCUGCCCCGUCCCCAUCCCGCCUACAUCGUCGCCGUCCCUGUUCCCUACAUUCAGAGGCUGGUAAGUGGUAAGUUGCCCAGUGAGUGUGAGCUGCUGCUCACGGCCGUGCGGCAUCCUCCCAAGGUGAGCGGUGUAACUCUGCUCAAAAUGAACUGGCAAGCAAUAUGAGGACUGCUUUGGAUUAUUUGCAGCUUUGAUUAGAGAUGUUAAUUUUCCUAUCUUAUCCGGUUAUGUGAUGCUCUCAUGCAGUAGUAUAGGAGAGAGGUUUGUUCCACAUCAUUUUGUGUUCUGUAUUAUGCAAGCUCAUCAUAGUAAAAUGCUCAGGUCAACAGGAAGUAAAAAGGUUGCAGUAAUCAGUAAUGUGUUCUGUAAUAUUAUAAUAUUGGUAGAUUGUUAACUGUUAGCAUGCUUGGUCUAAGCAUUUACGGAUUUAGACGUUGCAAAGAUUGAUACAGCUGUAAUUAUGUUAGCAGCUGAUCAUUUAGUCUGAACUUAUACUGCUCUGAACAUUUAGUCUGAACAAUAAUGCUCUGAACAUACUUUGCCCUCUCUUUGACAGCUGACUUUGGCCGGGGUGGCAAAACUGCUCAUUUGUGGCUCGGCUAGAUUCUGCUCUGGAGAAACCAUUAUUUGCCACUCUACAUAUUUUCUGGCCCUACCUGUUGAUUUCAAGCUGCAUGUAUUAGAUAGAUUUUAUAAAUGGACUAGACUGUAUUUUGUGGACAAGUAUUGGACUCUCAAUAUUUAAUGCUUCAGGACCUUUAGUCAUUUGCCUUAUCCUAUUAUUUAUCAUUUUCCUUAUCCUAUUUGCAUUGAAUACCAUCAUCAUCUAGCUUUUGUGGCACUUCACUGAUUAAUGCUGAUCUGAUAUAUAGUACCUGCUGCUUUAGUUGCAAUCCAUGUGGAAAGCAAAAUGCUAGAAAAUAUGUGUUUUGAUUAUUAGUUUAGUUGGGCUUUGCAUCUGUUCCUUACCAGCUCUAAUGCUCAUCAUUGCUGAUAAUUAGUGCAUUUGUACUGAUUCAUAGUCUCAUGUUGCAGAGCACAAUACACAAGUGAUUUAUGCAAAGUUUGGAGUUUGGACCAGACCAUAUGUUUUUAAGUGAGCAUGCUGGAGUUGGAGGACCGGCUCCACAACGGCGGGGGCGCGCAUGCACGGAGAGCUCGGACGUGGAGGUUAUUGCAGACCAAUACCCGUUUACAAAUUUGAUAUUUGUUUAUCAUAUCUAUAUAUAUUAUUCAUGGUAGCUUUAAGCUUCCCAACACCAAUAUAAUUACUAUGCCGAAACCAAUGUAGUGUGGCAUAUCUCAUAUGUGAUCAUUUUGUCCUUGCAAUUCAAUAGAUCAUCAGUAUGUUAUUUAGACAAUGACAUAUUCGAGCAAGAGUUUUCUAUGAGGCCAUUAGUGGAUUAUUUAAGGUAGGUCUCAUAGUGUGUGUGCCUUCGUGCUAACUCCCAGUUUUCUGAUAAGAAUUUCUGUUGCCUAA